GACGAACGCUGGCGGCGUGCUUAACACAUGCAAGUGGAGCGACGAACCAGGGCUUGCCCUGGGGCAAAGCCGCGAACGGGUGAGUAACACGUGGGUCACCUGCCUUGAUGACUGGGACAACCCGGGGAAACUCGGGCUAAUACCGGAUGUGCCCGCAAGGGGAAAGGAAGCUUCGGCCUCCGCAUCGAGAUGGGCCCGCGGCCCAUUAGCUUGUUGGUGAGGUAACGGCUCACCAAGGCUCCGAUGGGUAGCUGGUCUGAGAGGACGAUCAGCCACA
rnacentral:rRNA from 1 species